rnacentral:telomerase_RNA from 1 species
ACACGCGUGGCGGGCGGCAGCUCCGCUGUUCCUAACCCUAAUCGGGGAUAAUCGAUGGCGCCGUCGCCGCGCUCCGUCCGUCCGCCCGCUGUUUUACUCGCUGACUUUCAGCGGGCGAUUGGAGCCGCCCCAGGGGGAGGAGGGAGGCGGGAGGGGAUCGGGGCGCCCCGGCGGUGGGGAUGAGGGGAGGGAGAUUGAGGGAAAAAAAAAAGGGCCGAAAGAGGCUCUGGGACCAUAAAAAAAAACGUCAGCGAGGGGUCCGCUCUGCCCACCCCGCCCUGGGGCUCCCCGCUGUGGUGGCCGCGGUCGGCCGGCACCCGCCAUUGCCGCCGCCAAGAGUUCGCCUCUGUCAGCGCCCGGCGGCGCGCGGGACGAGCAGCGCGCGGCCCCGCGUCCCCAGCAGAAUAAACGGGAGCGGCGACCCCGGGAUCCGAACCCGGGAUCAACCCCCCGCGUCCCCUGUAACGUGGGGCAGGCGGACGGCGUCGCUCCCACACGC